CAUAUGAGUAGUUCUCACCAGUGGAAUGUAGUGAAAACGAGAUGCUGUCUCUUAGGGACUAAGGAAGCUAUCUUUCCUCUUCCGACAUUUGCUGACUGGUCGAUGCUAGAUGAUCUUGAGACCCUGUGCUGAGGACUGGAGAACUACAGGAAAGGAGCAGUAUCUCUGAAUUAUCGUGUGGAAGGUCACUUGUCUAGCCCCUGAUGACUGUGAGCCUCUUCCUCCUGCUUGCCACCUCUCAGUCACAAGACGGCUGCUGCGACUCAGGCUCAUGUCCCAAUUCAAGGCAGCAAGAAGGCCAUGGAGCGGCACCUGCCAGCUCCUGUCUCCCCAUCCCCUAGAAUCGUUGACAAAAUGAGUGACACUGCCCUGGGAUCUGGGUCUCUGGUUGAGGCCUUGGAGCUACUGCCUCUGCCUGUGAACUCACCCAUCAUCGCUAACAGGUUGCUCCACAGCCUACAGAUCUCAAUAUUUCGCUAGCACAAAACCCAAGCGGCCAGGCACGGUGGCUCACGCCUGUAAUCCCAGCACUUUGGGAGGCCGAGGCGGGUGGAUCACUUGAGGUCAGGAGUUCGA
rnacentral:lncRNA from 10 species